rnacentral:rRNA from 1 species
AUUCUCUAGUGGCGCACGGGCGAGAAACACGUGAGUAACCUGCCCCCGAGAGCGGGAUAGCCCUGGGAAACUGGGAUUAAUACCGCAUAGUAUCGAAAGAUUAAAGCAGCAAUGCGCUUGGGGAUGGGCUCGCGGCCUAUUAGUUAGUUGGUGAGGUAACGGCUCACCAAGGCGAUGACGGGUAGCCGGUCUGAGAGGAUGUCCGGCCACACUGGAACUGAGACACGGUCCAGACACCUACGGGUGGCAGCAGUCGAGAAUCAUUCACAAUGGGGGAAACCCUGAUGGUGCGACGCCGCGUGGGGGAAUGAAGGUCUUCGGAUUGUAAACCCCUGUCAUGUGGGAGCAAAUUAAAAAGAUAGUACCACAAGAGGAAGAGACGGCUAACUCUGUGCCAGCAGCCGCGGUAAUACAGAGGUCUCAAGCGUUGUUCGGAAUCACUGGGCGUAAAGCGUGCGUAGGCUGUUUCGUAAGUCGUGUGUGAAAGGCGCGGGCUCAACCCGCGGACGGCACAUGAUACUGCGAGACUAGAGUAAUGGAGGGGGAACCGGAAUUCUCGGUGUAGCAGUGAAAUGCGUAGAUAUCGAGAGGAACACUCGUGGCGAAGGCGGGUUCCUGGACAUUAACUGACGCUGAGGCACGAAGGCCAGGGGAGCGAAAGGGAUUAGAUACCCCUGUAGUCCUGGCAGUAAACGGUGCACGCUUGGUGUGCGGGGAAUCGACCCCCUGCGUGCCGGAGCUAACGCGUUAAGCGUGCCGCCUGGGGAGUACGGUCGCAAGAUUAAAACUCAAAGAAAUUGACGGGGACCCGCACAAGCGGUGGAGUAUGUGGCUUAAUUCGAUGCAACGCGAAGAACCUUACCUGGGCUUGACAUGUAAUGAACAACAUGUGAAAGCAUGCGACUCUUCGGAGGCGUUACACAGGUGCUGCAUGGCCGUCGUCAGCUCGUGUCGUGAGAUGUUUGGUUAAGUCCAGCAACGAGCGCAACCCCUGUUGCCAGUUACCAGCACGUGAAGGUGGGGACUCUGGCGAGACUGCCCAGAUCAACUGGGAGGAAGGUGGGGACGACGUCAGGUCAGUAUGGCCCUUAUGCCCAGGGCUGCACACGUACUACAAUGCCCAGUACAGAGGGGGCCGAAGCCGCGAGGCGGAGGAAAUCCUAAAAACUGGGCCCAGUUCGGACUGUAGGCUGCAACCCGCCUACACGAAGCCGGAAUCGCUAGUAAUGGCGCAUCAGCUACGGCGCCGUGAAUACGUUCCCGGGUCUUGUACACACCGCCCGUCACAUCAUGGAAGCCGGUCGCACCCGAAGUAUCUGAAGCCAACCGCAAGGAGGCAGGGUCCUAAGGUGAGACUGGUAACUGGGAUGAAGUCGUAACAAGGUAGCCGUAGGGGAACCUGCGGCUG